GUUCGGGGUAAAAAUAUUGUAAUGUUCGGUACGAACCUGAACUUUACAGUUUAGGUUCGCUCAUCUCUACCUCUCUAUACACACAGAGUAGCAGCUGAAAGAUGUUGAACUCAUAUUUGAAAAAGCUAUAGCAGAGGCAAAUCUUGCAGUUAUUUUUGCCAACAUGUGCAAUUGGCUAAUGAUGCUUAAGGUCCCAACAGAAGAUAAUUGCAAAGUCUACAUUAUGUUUCACAGCCUGCUACUAAGGCUCUGCCUGAAGGAGUUUGAAAGAAGUGAAAAUAGGGGAAAAGGAAUUCAAAAUCUGCAAAAGGAACUGGAAGCAGCUAAGACACCAAAUGAAAAGACUCGACUAAAAAGAGGAACUGAGUGAUACCUGAGGUGAUCCCAAGGGAACAUCAAAUUUAAUUGGUAGCUAUUUAAAUUAAAAUUGUUCUCAGAAAACAUAAUGAACAACUGCCUUGUUAAAUUACUGAACAAGAACAGCGAGGAGUCCAUGGAGUGCACCUGAAUUUUUCUCACAUCAAUUGGAAAAUAUCUAGAAAACAGACAGUUUUGCAUGUACUAUUUCAGCAAGAUUGAUAUAUUUAUUCUAAAAACACAAAAACAUCUUCUUGUGUGAUAGGAGCAACAGGAUGCCUCAGAAACAUCUGGAACUUAUGUGGUUAAAUUGCUGUGUAAACACUCAAGACUAGGGCGCAUGUGUGGAAUGGCAGGAAUGCUUACAAGUAGCUAAUACAUGUAGUGAUAAGUAAUAGCUUGCUAACUGGGUAAUAUUUGCUGAAGUUUGGGUGUAACUCUUGUAUUUCCUCUGUACGUAUGAAUUAUGUCAUUUAUGAUAUAUAAGCUUUGUUCGCUGAUUCGUGGCUCAGUGUAUUUCGGACAUUAGUCUGACACUGAGACGCUGCAC